rnacentral:rRNA from 1 species
UACGUAGGGUGCGAGCGUUAUCCGGAAUGAUUGGGCGUAAAGCGUCCGCAGGUGGCUAUGUAAGUCUGCUGUUAAAGAGUGAGGCUCAACCUCAUAAGAGCAGUGGAAACUACAUGGCUAGAGUGCGUUCGGGGCAGAGGGAAUUCCUGGUGUAGCGGUGAAAUGCGUAGAGAUCAGGAAGAACACCGGUGGCGAAAGCACUCUGCUGGGCCGACACUGACACUGAGAGACGAAAGCUAGGGGAGCGAAUGGG